UACGUAGGGGGCUAGCGUUGUCCGGAUUUAUUGGGCGUAAAGCGCGUGUAGGUGGCCAAGUAGGUCCGCUGUGAAAACUUGAGGCUCAACCUCAAGCUGUCGGUGGAAACCACUUGGCUAGAGUCCGGAAGAGGAGAGUGGAAUUCCUGGUGUAGCGGUGAAAUGCGCAGAUAUCAGGAAGAACACCAAUGGCGAAGGCAGCUCUCUGGGACGGUACUGACACUGAGACGCGAAAGCGUGGGGAGCGAACAGG
rnacentral:rRNA from 1 species